rnacentral:rRNA from 1 species
UGUCCUACGGGAGGCAGCAGUGAGGAAUAUUGGUCAAUGGGCGGAAGCCUGAACCAGCCAAGUCGCGUGAGGGAAUAAGGCCCUACGGGUCGUAAACCUCUUUUGCCGGGGAGCAAGGGCGGGGACGUGUCCCGGCCCGGAGAGUACCCGGAGAAAAAGCAUCGGCUAACUCCGUGCCAGCAGCCGCGGUAAUACGGAGGAUGCGAGCGUUAUCCGGAUUUACUGGGUGUAAAGGGGGCGCAGACGGCGAGGCAAGCCAGGAGUGAAAGCCCGGGGCCCAACCCCGGGGCGGCUCUUGGACCGGG